rnacentral:rRNA from 1 species
UACGUAGGUGGCAAGCGUUAUCCGGAAUUAUUGGGCGUAAAGCGCGCGCAGGCGGUCCUUUAAGUCUGAUGUGAAGGCCCACGGCUCAACCGUGGAGGGUCAUUGGAAACUGGGGGACUUGAGUGCAGAAGAGGAGAGCGGAAUUCCACGUGUAGCGGUGAAAUGCGUAAAGAUGUGGAGGAACACCAGUGGCGAAGGCGGCUCUCUGGUCUGUAACUGACGCUGAGGCGCGAAAGCGUGGGGAGCGAACAGG